rnacentral:rRNA from 1 species
AUUGAACGCUGGCGGCAGGCCUAACACAUGCAAGUCGAACGAGUGGCGGACGGGUGAGUAAUGUCUGGGAACCUGCCUGAUGGAGGGGGAUAACUACUGGAAACGGUAGCUAAUCCCGCAUACCAUCGGAUGUGCCCCGAGGGGAUUGGCUGUGUGGUGGGGGAACGGCUCACCAAGGCGACGAUCCCUAGAUGGUCUGAGAGGAUGACCAGCACAACGGGAACUGAGACACGGUCCAGACUCCUACGGUAGGCAGGAUGGGGGAAUAUGGCACAAUUGGCGAAUGCCUGAUGCCGCCAUGCCGCGUGGAUGAAGAAGGCAUUCGGGUUGUAAAGUACUUUAAGCGGGUAGGCGUUACCCGCAGAAGAAGCACCGGCUAACUCCGUGCCAGCAGCCGCGGUAAUUC